rnacentral:piRNA from 1 species
UCCAAUGGGGUGUCCAAUCGA